CCGCCGUCUCCCUCUGCAGCUGAAGAAGAAGCCCAAGAUCAUGCAGCAGCAUCUUGAUUAUUGUUUCCCUGGUUUAUGGCUAUCCAAGAUAACUCCUCGAUCCUACAAAGCCAAUGAAUAAGACAUGUGUUCUUAUAGUCCGUAUACAUUGUGAAGGUUGUAAGGAUAGGUCAGGAAGAAGGUGCAGAAGGUUCAAGGUAAGUUGUGGGGUUCAGUUGUAUUUUAUUCGUUGUUUAAUUGGUUUAUUGUUUGGCUGGGUUCAUGUGGUACAUGGAAGCAAUAAAUAACAUAUUGUUGUAGGAGCUUUGUUGAUUCUUUGAAAAUGUGAACUCAAUUUUACUCUGUUUCAAUUAUGUUUCAUAUUCUGUUAUUUACUUGAGUUAUGCUUGUAUUGUAAUUCAAAGAAGGAAAAUGUUUGUCUGGCAAACUCUAUAUCUGAAAUGCAUAAAUUUGGAGCAAUCUAUAAUAUCAAAUGGUUCUCAUACUUUGGCACAUGAAUCCAAUGAUUUGGGUAAAAAAGAUAAAAAGAAGAAAGGAACAAAAAGAGGAAGGCACUUUGAUAGAGAUUCUCGAGCUACUAAUCCAGAGGUCUCAAUUUGGUGUGAUCUCACUGUAGUUGAAGACAACUGUAUUUGUUCACCUCUUUUCGGUA